GCGGUAUUAGUGUCAACGGAUUAGCACAAUAGCCUUCCAAGCUGAAAGUACGGGUUCAAAUCCUGUAUACCGCACCA
rnacentral:tRNA from 1 species